GAUUUCUGGCUUGAAACAUUUUGCCGGCCACGGUUUCGUGUGUUAGUGCUUGAUGUUCUGGCCAUCCUUCCAAUCGCUGUGUACCUUUCUUCAUCGAUUGGUGCAUGGUAUUGGAUCUUUUACUUUGAAAAAAUUAGAGUGUUUCAAGCAGGCUUUAUGCUAUGAAUACAUUAGCAUGGAAUAAUAAUUUAGGACUUCGGUUCUAUUUUGUUGGUUUCUAGGACUGAAGUAAUGAUUGAUAGGGAUAGUUGGGGGUGCUAGUAUUCAGCGGCCAGAGGUGAAAUUCUCGGAUUCGCUGAAGACUAACUUAUGCGAAAGCAUU
rnacentral:rRNA from 1 species